CUGGAUAACAUGGAAAUGGAAAAACUUUUCUUAUAAACCAACUUACUGCCAAUAGUGAGUGAAGUAGCCGUGGACUUUCAGCCCCUGUAAUCCCUCCUCUCCUCCAGCGAGCCCUGCUCUUCAGGGAUGUCCAGUCUGGAGCUGCUCAAGUGUCCCCAUGCAGCUGCUGCACCAUUGCCACCGCCGAUUCUUUCCCUGCAUUUGGUGCACACGCCUCAUGUCACAAACCAAGUGUGUGGAUUAACCGUUUCCCACGUUCUGUGUUUCACAGAGGUCCUGGAAUGUUUCCUUGUACUCUUCUUUUGGGGUAUAGAGAAUGCCUUAAAAAGCAGCGUCCCAAAUUUAAACACAUCGAACAGGAACUUCCGGAAUACUUUGCAACUUACCAGUUUGUAUGCUGCUAUACUAUAGAGUGCAAAUGGCCAAUAUGUACCCAUCUAACAAAGCGAACAGUUACCGCUCACUGCGAAAGAUGAAGAGGAAGGGUCCAGACAAAGCCAAGGCAACUAUCCAUUGGUCAACUGGAAAAGAACGAAGCACAAAGGCCAAAUGUUCAGUCAUGUCUUAGUGUUUCCAAUUCUUACACAUUUGGCAAAUGCACGUGAAAUGCUGCACAUUACACACACCUGCCAUCAAGUCGGUGAAUAUACCUGUCUCAUGUUCAGUGGAAAAAAAGCACUAGCUUUACAGUUGAAAAACAUGGUAGAAAAUCAGAAUAUUUAAGAUAAG
rnacentral:lncRNA from 1 species